GAGCGACUUCCGGUGUGGUGGCUCCCAAGCGGGUGUCCCCAGUGGGGACGCUGAGAGCCCCCGGCGGGGUAGACCGCCUUCUGUGACUGCUGCUGGCUGCAGUCUGCAAGGGAAGGACUCCGGGACCGGGAGCCAUGCGAUGGACUUUCAUAUUCUUGGAACCUAGUGGGCUGAUCUGAAGAAGCACAGAUUCCAAGUGCCAUGGCACAAGUAAGCUCCCUGUCUGCCGAGCCUCUCUGCCAAGCCACCCUGCCCUGCAGCCAGACAGCUAUGCACUCAAACCCUUACAACCUGUGAACCCAAAUCGAUUUCUUCUUCUUUAAAUUGAGGCAGUGACCUUUGAGGAUGUGGCUGUGAACUUCACCAGGAUGGUGGAGUGGGCUUUGCUGGAUCCAUCCCAACGAAGCUCUGCAGAGAUGUGAUGUGGGAAACCCUUAGGAACCUGGCUGCCAUCGGAGGAAACUCAGGUGAUCAGCAAAUUGGAGAUGAGUAUGAAACUUGCAGAAAAAAAUCUAAGAAGUGAAGAUGGAGUGACAUCCCAUCAAUAUAAAUUAUGGUAUCAAUGUGGAGAAAUGCUUGUUCAGACUCCAGCUACUAAUGCACACAUGAAACUUGUUUGUGUAAAACCAGGUGAAAGUUUUUCCUCUAGAAGGCCCCUGAUUGGUCAUUCAUCAGCAGAUGGGCCCAUCAUGGCUAACACUGGACUCAAGUCACCUGAGCAGUGGGGAUUGCAAGGGAAACUAACUGUAACACACAUGAGAAAACCUGCACAAAACUGAAGUCCUUGCAGAAAUGUGCAAAGACAAUUUCUGGGGAGAAACCCCAUGAAUAUGUGUCAUGUGGAAAGUACUACUCUGAUUGCACCGAAGAAAGAACCAUUGAAGAGAAGCUAUUUGUAUAUAAGCAAGAUGUGAAAUCAUUCAUUACACCCAACAAUGUUGAAAUCGGAGGAAGAAGUCACAGUGAAGUGAAUACAUACACAUGUAUACCAUGUGGAACAGGUUUUAAGUCUCACCAUGAUAUUCAGACACAUGAAGAAAUUCACACUGGAGAAGAAACCUAUAUAAGGAAACACUGGAAAAUGCUUCACUAACAGCAAUUCCUUUGGUAAUCUUCAAAGAACUCACAUUAGGGAGAACCCUAUCCAUGCAAACAAUGUAAGAAAGCUUUUAUCACACACAGAAUGUCAAACACAUGUAUGGACUCACACUGGGGAGAAACCUUAUGUGUGUAAGCAAUGUGAGAAAGCUUUCAGCAGGCAAGAUAGUUGGAAAACACAUGAACAGACUCACAUUGGGGAGAAACUAUGUAUGUAAGCAAUGUGGGGAAGCUUUCAGCACACAAAGAAAUUGUCAAAGACAUGAACAAACUCAUACUGGAGAGAAACCCUAUGUAUGUAAGCAAUGUGGAAAAGCUUUCACCACACUGAGUUAUUUCCAAGUACAUGAAAGGAUGCACACUGGGGAGAAACCCUAUGUAUGUAAGCAUUGUGGGAAAGCCUUCACUCAACACCAAUAUUAUAAAAAACAUGAAAAAAUUCACACUGGGGAGAAACUCUAGCAUGUAAGCAAUGUGGGAAACCUUGUAAUGGAAACAAAGACAUGUCAAAUACAUGUACGGACUCAUACUGGGGAGAAGCCCUAUGUGCAUGAGCAAUGUGGGAAAGCUUUCAGCACACAGAAUAGUUGCCAAAUGCAUGAAAGGACUCACUGGGGAGAAGCCCAAUGUAUGUAAGCAAUGUGGGAAAGCUUUUGGCAUGUGUAAAAGUUGUCAGAGACAUGAACAACAAACUCACUGAGGAGAAACUAAGCAAUGUGGAAACGCUUUCUCCAUGCUAUGUUUUUGGCAAGUACAUAAAAAUUCACACAAGGCAUAAACCCUGUGUGUGUGUAUGCAUUGUGGGAAAGCUUUCAACACCAAUAUUUUAAAUCCAUGAAAAAAGCCACUCUGGAAAAACCCUAUGUAAGCCAUGUGGGAAAGUUUUCAGCACAUACAGUAAUUUAAAACACAUGAGUAGAUCCACACUGGGGAGAAACCAUGUGGGAAAGCUUUUAGCACACAGAUUGUCAAGUACAUGAAAGGACUCACUGAGAGAAACUAAGCAAUGUGAAGACAGGAAAGAACUCACUGUUGAAGCACUAUGUGUAAGCAAUGUGGGAAUGCAUUUAGUGCAUAGAGUUAUCAGGUAUAUAAAAGAAAUCACUCUUGGGAAAAAGACUAAAAAAUAAGGAAAAGCCUUACUGUGGUAAACAUGUUGAUUAAAAAUGGUGAGUGAGGCCGGAGAUUUAGCUCAGUGGUUUCACCGCCUGCUGCACAAGCGCAAGGACCUGAGUUCGAUCCCUGGUACCAAAAAAAGAAAAUGGUGAGUGAAAUAACUGAAUACAUAGUGACUUGGGCUGACACAAGUCAGACUGAGAUCUUCUAAGCCAUAUAAAUCUCAGUCCACACAGGUAUCGUUACAUACAUGAAUUCAGAGUGUAGAGAGUUGGAACAUACAUGAGCAGUGUGGGAAAGGUGGGGUUUUUUUCUGCAAUAAACUCAAAUACAUGAAAGAAUUCACAUGAAAGGGAACAUAUAUUGGAAAAUUUUUGGUUCUUCCACUUUUCUUGAAAUAUAUGAACGAAUUCCCACUAAAGAGAAACCCUGAGUACUAUGACAAAGCAUUGUGGGAUGCCCAUAGCAUCAGAAAACAUGCACAUUUCUGAGUGCUAGUAUAAAUAUAGAACAUAAGAAAUCUUCAGUUUUACAUGAUAUUUCAUGACACUGCAUUGCACAGUGGAGAAAUCCACAGCAACAUAUUAUAUGGGAACACCUGGAGUCAUUUUGGUUUAAUUCACAUUGAAAAUAAACACAGUACUGUGAGAAAGCAUUACUGUGAGGCAUAUACACAAGUCAUCAGUUGUCCUGCCUGGAAGAAUGAAUAUUGUAUGAAAUCCCUGUAAAUGUACAAAGUUCUCAGUUAUAACUCAUAUUUUCCAAAUCCUGUGGUCACUUCUCAUGUGUUUAAAUGUAAAAGGUAAGUUGCAAUUGCCAGGCAGGUGUGGGGCCACUGAGCUACAUCCCCAAGAUAAGUUGUAUAAAACUCAGUUAUUUCUCUGGAAAAUACACAAGCAGAGGAAAUAUUAAGUAAAUAUUGUGAACCCUUAAAGUACAUCUCUGGAUUCAUUUUAAGCUAACUUUUAAAAAUAAAUGUGCUCUUUUGAUCUCCAGUACCAAAUAAGUAAAUAAAUGGGCUCACAUAAUUCUGUACAUUCUUGUAAGCAAUGGCAUGGGACUUUAAUAUCAUCUCUUGACUUAGA